GAUGAACGCUGGCGGCGUGCCUAAUACAUGCAAGUCGAGCGAACAGACGAGGAGCUUGCUCCUCUGACGUUAGCGGCGGACGGGUGAGUAACACGUGGAUAACCUACCUAUAAGACUGGGAUAACUUCGGGAAACCGGAGCUAAUACCGGAUAAUAUAUUGAACCGCAUGGUUCAAUAGUGAAAGACGGUUUUGCUGUCACUUAUAGAUGGAUCCGCGCCGCAUUAGCUAGUUGGUAAGGUAACGGCUUACCAAGGCAACGAUGCGUAGCCGACCUGAGAGGGGGGUGGCCCACAUGAAAACUGGACCGCGCUCCAUACCCCGGAGGGAGGAGCCGGUAGGGAAUCUUCAGAAAGGGGCAAAAGCCGAACGGACCAGCCGCGGGGGAGGAAAGAGGGUCUCCGGAUCGAAAAACUCUUUUAUUAGGGAAAAAAAAAUUUGAAAGAAAAUAUCCCCGUCUGGAGGUGCCAUAAUAAGAACACCCGGGCUAACCCCGGG
rnacentral:rRNA from 1 species